CCCAUGGCUCAGAUUGAACGCUGGCGGCAGGCCUAACACAUGCAAGUCGAGCGGUAGAGAGAAGCUUGCUUCUCUUGAGAGCGGCGGACGGGUGAGUAAUGCCUAGGAAUCUGCCUGGUAGUGGGGGAUAACGUUCGGAAACGGACGCUAAUACCGCAUACGUCCUACGGGAGAAAGCAGGGGACCUUCGGGCCUUGCGCUAUCAGAUGAGCCUAGGUCGGAUUAGCUAGUUGGUGAGGUAAUGGCUCACCAAGGCGACGAUCCGUAACUGGUCUGAGAGGAUGAUCAGUCACACUGGAACUGAGACACGGUCCAGACUCCUACGGGAGGCAGCAGUGGGGAAUAUUGGACAAUGGGCGAAAGCCUGAUCCAGCCAUGCCGCGUGUGUGAAGAAGGUCUUCGGAUUGUAAAGCACUUUAAGUUGGGAGGAAGGGCAUUAACCUAAUACGUUGGUGUCUUGACGUUACCGACAGAAUAAGCACCGG
rnacentral:rRNA from 1 species